ACUUGGGGAUGUUAAAAGAUAGUAGGAAA
rnacentral:piRNA from 1 species